rnacentral:lncRNA from 1 species
CCGAUUGAAGCCGCGGCCCCUUGACUUAUGCUUGCCACGAUGUCAUGUCGGUGGGGGUCAUUGGAGGCUGAGAUAAGUCUUUCUUCCUUUUCCUCUCUUCUCUCCCUUCUUUUCCAUACCUGUGGGCAUGACUGUUGGUGACAAGAGUCAUCGGAGAAGAAAGCUCUGUUCGGCCUCUCCCUUUCCCCUGAUUUUAUGGCACCGACCGCCAGCUGUGGCCUC